UACGGAGGGGGCAAGCGUUGUUCGGAAUUACUGGGCGUAAAGCGCGUGUAGGCUGCUCUGUAAGUCAGGUGUGAAAGCCCUGGGCUCAACCUAGGAAGUGCACUUGAAACUACAGAGCUGGAGAUCUGGAGAGGAAGGCGGAAUUCUCGGUGUAGAGGUGAAAUUCGUAGAUAUCGAGAGGAACACCGGUGGCGAAGGCGGCCUUCUGGGCAGCAUCUGACGCUGAGACGCGAAAGCGUGGGGAGCAAACAGG
rnacentral:rRNA from 1 species